UACAGAGGUCUCAAGCGUUGUUCGGAUUCAUUGGGCGUAAAGGGCGCGUAGGCGGCCUGCUAAGUCGGAUGUGAAAUCCCUCGGCUCAACCAAGGAACUGCAUCCGAUACUGGCGGGCUUGAAUCCGGGAGAGGGAUGUGGAAUUCCAGGUGUAGCGGUGAAAUGCGUAGAUAUCUGGAGGAACACCGGUGGCGAAGGCGGCAUCCUGGACCGGUAUUGACGCUGAGGCGCGAAAGCUAGGGGAGCAAACGGG
rnacentral:rRNA from 1 species